GGGCGGUUAGCUCAGUUGGUUAGAGUACCACAUUGACAUUGUGGUGGUCAGAGGUUCGAGCCCUCUACCGCCCA
rnacentral:tRNA from 1 species